rnacentral:rRNA from 1 species
UAAAGUGGCGACCGGGUGAGUAACACGUGACUAACCUACCUUCAAGUGGGGGAUAACCUCGGGAAGCCGAGGCUAAUACCGCAUAAUAUCGCAAGAUCAAAGCAGCAAUGCGCUGGAAGAGGGGGUCGCGGCUGAUUAGCCAGUUGGCGGGGUAACGGCCCACCAAAGCGAAGAUCGGUAGCCGGCCUGAGAGGGCGCACGGCCACACUGGAACUGAAACACGGUCCAG